UUUUUAUCAAAAAAGGAGAAAAAGAAAAAAGAAGUUCGAAGUUACGCAGCAUCGUCACGGUGACAAAUAAAAAUGUAUCCGUUUCCACUGUAUAUAUUAAACUAUUAAUUGCACAAGUGUUUGGGUUGUUUCAACUGGAUCCAUGUUCAUACGAAUCAUACCCAUUAUUAUUCUAAUAUUAUAUAUUAUAUAUAUUAUAGGAGGCCUUCCUUCUUCCACUUUGCUUAUACUUCUUCUUUUAGACCAGAGAAGAAGAAAAAGAAGAAGAAGAAACAAACCAUAAACCAAACAAUUCCAAGUUCUCCUCCUUCACAAGGUGAAUUUAUGGUGCAAAUUUAGCAGUAUUUGUCAAUAACUAUACAAAAUAGUACUCCCUCCGUUACUUUUUAAUAGGCCAGUUUCUAUAAA